GACGGGGGGUCCUAGCGUUGUUCGGAAUCAUUGGGCGUAAAGCGUGUGCAGGUGGCUUUGCAAGUUAGAUGUGAAAGCCCAGGGCUCAACCCUGGAAUUGCCUUCGAUACUGGAGAUCUUGAGACCGGAAGAGGUAAGUGGAACUGCGAGUGUAGAGGUGAAAUUCGUAGAUAUUCGCAAGAACACCAGUGGCGAAGGCGGCUUACUGGUCCGGUUCUGACGCUGAGGCGCGAAAGCGUGGGGAGCAAACAGG
rnacentral:rRNA from 1 species